rnacentral:rRNA from 1 species
AUUGAACGCUAGCGGGAUGCCUUACACAUGCAAGUCGAACGGCAGCACGGACUUCGGUCUGGUGGCGAGUGGCGAACGGGUGAGUAAUGUAUCGGAACGUGCCUAGUAGCGGGGGAUAACUACGCGAAAGCGUAGCUAAUACCGCAUACGCCCUACGGGGGAAAGCAGGGGAUCGCAAGACCUUGCACUAUUAGAGCGGCCGAUAUCGGAUUAGCUAGUUGGUGGGGUAACGGCUCACCAAGGCGACGAUCCGUAGCUGGUUUGAGAGGACGACCAGCCACACUGGGACUGAGACACGGCCCAGACUCCUACGGGAGGCAGCAGUGGGGAAUUUUGGACAAUGGGGGAAACCCUGAUCCAGCCAUCCCGCGUGUGCGAUGAAGGCCUUCGGGUUGUAAAGCACUUUUGGCAGGAAAGAAACGUCAUGGGCUAAUACCCCGUGAAACUGACGGUACCU